ensembl:snRNA U4 U4 spliceosomal RNA
AGCUUUGCGCAGUGGCAGUAUCGUAGCCAAUGAGGUUUAUCCGAGGCGCGAUUAUUGCUAAUUGAAAUACUUGAAAUGCCAACAUUCAUUAUUAGUCUGUUUUUGACACUUUGGACUACAAA